rnacentral:rRNA from 1 species
GACGAACGCUGGCGGCGUGCUUAACACAUGCAAGUCGAACGGAAAGGCCCUGCUUUUGUGGGGUGCUCGGGUGGCGAACGGGUGAGUAACACGUGAGUAACCUGCCCUUGACUUUGGGAUAACUUCAGGAAACUGGGGCUAAUACCGUAUAGGAGCUCCUGCUGCAUGGUGGGGGUUGGAAAGUUUCGGCGGUUGGGGAUGGACUCGCGGCUUAUCAGCUUGUUGGUGGGGUAGUGGCUUACCAAGGCUUUGACGGGUAGCCGGCCUGAGAGGGUGACCGGCCACAUUGGGACUGAGAUACGGACCAGACUCGUACGGGAGGCAGCAGUGGGGAAUAUUGCACAAUGGGCGGAAGCCUGAUGCAGCAACGCCGCGUGCGGGAUGACGGCCUUUGGGUUGUAAACAGCUUUCGCCUGUGACGAAGCGUGAGUGACGGUAAUGGGUAAAGAAGCACCGGCUAACUACGUG